AAGGAGCUGGGAUCCCCAGGCAGAGCAGACUCUCUCAGUGCUGAUUGCCAAUCAGAAACAGGACGCCCGUCUCCCUUGCCACACCGUCUCCGCUGCGUGGACACAUUUAGGGGGAUAUCUCUCGUCCUCAUGGUCUUCGUGAAUUAUGGAGGUGGAAAGUAUUGGUACUUCAAACAUUCAAGUUGGAACGGACUGACAGUGGCUGACCUUGUGUUCCCAUGGUUUGUAUUUAUUAUGGGAUCUUCAGUUUUUUUAUCAAUGACCUCUAUACUACAACGAGGAUGUUCUAAAUUCAGAUUUUCGAGAU